UGUUUAUGACGUCUGCGUCAUAAACACGAUCAACUUCGGUAUUUAUGACGUCGAAUAUCGACGUCGUAAACACGAUAAACUUUGGUGUUUAUGACGUCGAUAUUCGACGUAAUAAACACGAUCAACUUUGGCGUUUAUGACGUCGAUAUUCGACGUCAUAAACACGAUCAACUUAGAUGUUUACGACGUCGAUAUUCGACGUCAUAAACACGAUCAACUUUGGUGUUUAUGACGUCGAUAUUCGACGUCAUAAACACGAUCAACUUAGAUGUUUAUGACGUCGACGGCAUAAACA
rnacentral:miRNA from 1 species